GACGAACGCUGGCGGCGUGCUUAACACAUGCAAGUCGAACGGAACGGCCCUGCUUAUGUGCGGUGCUCGAGUGGCGAACGGGUGAGUUACACGUGAGUAACCUGCCCUUGACUGAAGGGUAACUUAAUAACACUUGGGCUAAUACCGCAUAGGAUCUCUUGCUGCAUGGUGGGGGUGGGAAAGUUUCGGCGGUUGGGGGUGGAAUCGCGGCUUAUGAGGUUGUUGGUGGGGUAGUGGCUUACCAAGGCAUUGACGCGUAGCCGGGCUGAGCGGCUGAGCGGACCCACUGCGACGGAGAUGCGGCACAGCCUACUAUGGGACGCAGCAGAGCGGAGGGGUGUACAAGGGGCGGAAGGCUGAUGUAGCAACGCCGCGUGGGGGAUGAGGGGAUGCGGGUAGGGUUGCGAAGUCGCCUGUCACGAGGCGUGAAUGACGGUAACGGGUAAAUAAGCACCGGCUAACUACGUG
rnacentral:rRNA from 1 species